UCAGUUUACCUCACUAUCUAUGUGCCACAUGCUGCGGUUAGCGUGUGGUUGACUGGGAUCACUGUCAUCUGAUCGUGUUCCUGGUACUGUCUACAAACUCUACAACAGCAACUAAUACUGAAGGUUUCCUUGGACUGACUGUGGAAUUCAGUAUACCUCAACUUUAAUGAUUUGAAUGAUUUGACCUCUGAAGACAUAAUCAAACUGUUCUCCCAAUUAACACCACACUCAUGCACUCUUUUGACUCUCCCAUCACUCUUCCAUCACUUCCCCAAAGAAAGACCUGGACCUUGGGAGACCAUGCUUUGUGUUCUGCUGGUCCAAGGCAUCGGAUCAUACAACUUGCAUUAGAACUUAAACGUCAAUCAGCACUUUCAAAUGAUAUCUUAAAUCUUGCUUUAAUAGUUUGGAAUUUAUUCUGUGUAUUGUAUUAAAAUGUGUUUCACAA